GUUCUACUCCCUCCGUCCCAAAAUUCUUGUCUUAGAUUUGUCCAAAUACGGAUGUAUCAAGUCACAUUUUAGUAUUAGAUACAUCCGUAUCUAGACAAAUGUAAGACAAGAAUUUUGGGACGGAGGGAGUACUUU
rnacentral:pre_miRNA from 1 species